CUCAAACAAACGAAAUGCGCGGCCCCUGAAUCCCAUUUCAAAUUUCAAACCUCCAUUCCAUUCUCUCUCUUUCUCUCUCUUCCUAUCAGAUCUGGCGACCGUAAAUCUCGGAUCUGGAGCGUGCGAUGAUGAACCACCGGUAAGUCCUAACCGAUGAAGCUCCGGUAAGUCCUUCUUCUCUUACAUGUUUCAUUGGUUGUUAGAUCGGUCCGAGGAAUCCGGUGGCUAGGAUUUCGUUUUAGGUGUCCGUAAGGCGGCAACGUGAGAAGGAGGUCGCUGCUAUGACUCAUGCAGUGGCAGGGGAUGAUGGUGAUUAUCGAUCUAUUCUGUGGAAAGAUGAAGUAACCAGGACCACACGUGUUGAGGAAUUUUGUUUCAUCACAUAUACUACUUACACAAAAUCAGAGAUUUCUUGAGUCUUGCAAGAGAAACCCUUUUUUUAAACGGCGUAGAGAAACCCUAAAACACAAAAUUGGUCGGAUCAUGAAAGAUUUUCGACCUGAAAUCGCUGUUAGGGGCCACAAUCAAACGCACAAGAGGUUGAGAGUUGUUCAGUGGAUGAUCCAGAUCUCCGUUUCACAUAUUUUUGAGUUUUUUUUUCUCAAACACAGUGGUGGUGAUAACCCCCACGAUGGAAGAUGUCGGAGAUGGCGGUUGUGGGUGGAAACCUAGACGGCUGCGGAGGGUGCCGGUAUUUGCUUUCAGCAAUUCUUCUGUGGAGUUUGGGUAGCUUUUUGAAUUAACAGUUUUUAUGUGGAGGCAUUGACUUUUUUGGUAAUUUUAUUCCUGCAGUUAGAAGAACAUCACAUGUGUAAUGUGUAAGUGAAAUGAGCUGAAUCGAACAAUGAGGCGGCAAGUCCUUGAGCUAUCCGCAACGGAUCAGACGUUGUUCUUGUUGACACAGCUGGUCGGAUGUAGGACAACGAACCGUUGAUGCGUGCACUAUCUAAGCUUAUAUACGUCAACAGUCCGGACCUCGUACUUUUUGUCGGUGAGUCGUUGGUUGGUAAUGAUGCUGUUGAUCAACUAUCAAAGUUCAAUCAGGUAUCGAAAACUAGCUGAGCUUUCACCCUCACCGAUCCCGAGGUUGAUUGAUGGAAUUUUGCUAACCAAGUUUGAUACCAUCGAUGAUAAGAUGGUUCCAAGAGGACCUAUGUACCGUGGACCAGCUAGGAACAUAGCAGAUGCAAAUAUGGCGGCGGGUGUCGGCAGCGGAAUGCUUCCCGUACCUUACGGCAUGGCGUGCGUUGGCGGCAUGCUUCCACUCGAUGCCACUGCUUCCAUCCCACAACCAAUGCCUAUUACAGCGUUGGCUUCCGCUCUUGCUAACGCAUCACCAGAUCAACAGAGGACGAACAUGUUCAGACCAUCAGUCUAGCACACUGCAGCCCUGGUUUGCAUGCUUGCAUGCUACAGCUGGGCCAGAAUUGGACCUUAGAACCGGAGACAUUGUUGAAAUCGAAUUGGAAGUGCCUUAGAAUGGGCGUCAAUUGUCCAUACAUAAGGGUAUUGUAAUCUCAAACAAAAGGCUGGUAUAAGCUGGAAGAAGCGGUCAAACUCGCAGCCUUUUCUUAGAUUCUUUCCAGUCGCGAAACACCCGUCGGGCAGCCUGGAAACAAUAAUGGUGUGAGUCUGGAAACAAUAAUGGUGAGGGCUGGGGAAAGUGCUGACCUAAAUUUGUAGUGGGAGGCACUUGUCUUUGCUUACAGGAAUCAGCCUAAAUCAAAUAAGUUCCUUACCUGAGGGCCUUGCUGCAAUGGGCCUUCCACUUGCAAUGGAGCAUACAGUUACACAUUCAUUUUUGUAAGUAAUGGGUCACAUGGGUAAAAAUCGAACAUGUCAAAUGGGUCAGAAGUGACCGUGACCUGAAGUUUAUUUUAAUAAUUAAAACCUCUUAACUUGAUUUAUUAAAAUAACUGAGUGGGGCUAAAGACAACAUGCCUCAAGCUUGAAUCCGAUCCCAACCGGGGUUUUACUGCGUAAUAGGCGUUUUGGCAAAGGGUGGGAUCAGCAGGUUCAAAUGACUAUGGUGAUGGUUUCGAGUGAUCAGCCAACAUUUCAGUCAAAAAAGAAGAAACUUGGGUCAGCGAACGGUCAUCAGGAAGGUAUAAAUGUACACUUGAGCCGUUUAGAUAAUUGAAUAUAAGUAUCAUCAACCUCUGGUCAACGAGGUGAGUUAAGGUUGUACAUUGUUGAAGUCAACCCUGAGCAAGAUUCGUUCUUUGACCAUAUUAGAAACCUAUCGAAAAGGAAAAAGCUUUUAAACUGUACGAUGAUGGGAUUCUAGAGUUUGCUAAUUUCUCUUAUCUAAUCCAUAAGUGUAACUUCUGAUUUGUUUAAUUCAUAGCUAAAUUUUUUAUU